CCCUUAGAGUUUGAUCCUGGCUCAGAAUGAACGUUGGCGGCGUGGAUUAGGCAUGCAAGUCGAACGGGCCGCAAGGCCAGUGGCGCAAGGGUGAGUAAGGCGACGGUAACCAACCCCGGGAUUGGGUAUAGCCGCGGGAAACCGCGGGUAAUCCCCAGCGACGCAACGACACCGGCAUCGGUGUCUUGCCAAAGCCCCGGCGUCCUGGGACGGGCUGUCGUGGUAUUAGCUUGUUGGCGGGGUAACGGCCCACCAAGGCUCUGAUGCCUACCGGGCGUGCGAGCGUGGCCCGGCACACUGGGACUGAGACACUGCCCAGACUCCUACGGGAGGCUGCAGUCGAGAAUCUUCGGCAAUGGGCGCAAGCCUGACCGAGCGACGCCGCGUGGAGGAUGAAGGCCUUCGGGUUGUAAACUCCUGUCGAGGGGGAAAAAGGACUGAAAGGUCUUGAUUGAUCCCUGGAGGAAGCACGGGCUAAGUUCGUGCCAGCAGCCGCGGUAAGACGAACCGUGCGAACGUUAUUCGGAAUCAUUGGGCUUAAAGCGCGUGUAGGCGGAUUCGUGCGUCUGUCGCUGAAAUCCCCCGGCUCAACCGGGGAACGGGCGCGGAUACGACGAGUCUGGAGGGGCAUAGGGGGACCUGGAACUUCCGGUGGAGCGGUGAAAUGCGUUGAGAUCGGAAGAACGCCCGUGGCGAAAGCGAGGUCC
rnacentral:rRNA from 1 species